UACGGAGGGGGCUAGCGUUGUUCGGAAUUACUGGGCGUAAAGCGCACGUAGGCGGGUUGUUAAGUCAGGGGUGAAAUCCUGGAGCUCAACUCCAGAACUGCCUUUGAUACUGGCAACCUAGAGACUGGAAGAGGUUAGUGGAAUUCCCAGUGUAGAGGUGAAAUUCGUAGAUAUUGGGAAGAACACCAGUGGCGAAGGCGGCUCACUGGCCCGAUACUGACGCUGAGGCACGAAAGCGUGGGGAGCAAACAGG
rnacentral:rRNA from 1 species